rnacentral:rRNA from 1 species
AUUGAACGCUGGCGGCAGGCCUAACACAUGCAAGUCGAGCGGAUGAAGGGAGCUUGCUCCUGGAUUCAGCGGCGGACGGGUGAGUAAUGCCUAGGAAUCUGCCUGGUAGUGGGGGAUAACGUCCGGAAACGGGCGCUAAUACCGCAUACGUCCUGAGGGUGAACGUGGGGGAUCUUCGGACCUCACGCUAUCAGAUGAGCCUAGGACGGAUUAGCUAGUUGGUGGGGUAAAGGCCUACCAAGGCGACGAUCCGUAACUGGUCUGAGAGGAUGAUCAGUCACACUGGAACUGAGACACGGUCCAGACUCCUACGGGAGGCAGCAGUGGGGAAUAUUGGACAAAGGGCGAAAGCCUGAUCCAGCCAUGCCGCGUGUGUGAAGAAGGUCUUCGGAUUGUAAAGCACUUUUAGUUGGGAGGAAGGGCAGUAAGUUAAUACCUUGCUGUUUUGACGUUACCAACACAAUAAGCCCCGGCUAACUUCGUG